GCGCAAAUCCAUCUUACUCUCAAUAGCUAAGUGACAUGAAAGCCAUAAAAGAAAAAGUGGUCAGCAAUAUUUAGCAGCACGACUUGGCCCCGGGCGCAGGGAGCCGCGCUAUAAAAAACCGCUGGAAUUUACUGGCAGCUACAAAUAUUUGCUUAACUUGCUUCUGGAGUUGGGGGAUUUUCCGGGGAGAGAGAAGGAGAAUGAGUGAGGGCUGGAAGCCGACUCUCAGGAGCCGGGGUCCAAAAGGAGAAAGGCUUGAUAGGCUAGAAAGGAACAAGGCUGGGAGCUUUCUUUUCCGGGGAAGAAGAAACUUGGGGUGUCGCUUAGUUUCUGCUCCUUGGCCUCCUCCAGAGGGCCCAAGACUCCUCCACUCUGGGAAUCUUGGGAAGGGAACCAGGAGGCAAAGGGGAGUUUGGGUCGCCAAUGUUUUCUCGGCUUUAGGACUGAUGUUUGCCAAAAGAGCCCUGACAUGGAGUAACUUCCCACCCAGCUCCUUCUUGGACCUUCCUGCUCCCAAAAGAGGUUUGCACAAAAAAUUUUCAGGCAAUUUGCCCCAUCCAACCAUGCUGGAUUUCAGAAGCUGAGCUUGUUAGGCAGUUAAUCCACCUUGUUGGGGAUAUGACUCACCUCCUCCAAAUGAACCCCUUGUGGCCAAGAAUGGGGGAGGGAAAACUUUGGUUGGAACACAUUUCGCGCGUGUGUGUGUGUGUGUGUGUGUGUGUGUGUGUGUGUUUGCAGGAGGGACCAACAGUAACACCCCACCCAGCAAGUCACAACUAAAAUCCUGAGGAGUUCUUUACUCCUUUCCUCUCCCUGUUUCUUAGGCACUUCCCAGCAAGCCACCCCCACUUCUUUACUUCCUCCCCCCAGUUACAGGAGGUUCCCAGAACCUCCUAUCUUGGACUUUCUGAGGUGCUGUUAUUCGGGGCAACUAUCAAAUUCUACCUGUUAAAACAUGAUGGAUUAGAGAGAAAAAAAAACCCUCCAGGAACCUGAAAAACCAGCGUUCAUCUCCAUGACCACGGCUUGAACUCUCCUUCCAACUUAACGAUAAUAGGUUCUGUCUUAGAAACUGCUAUGUAAUUUGAUGUAUGGGGGUCAUUUGGCUCCGGACGAGGGAUGGAAGCACAAGCCAUAAAAUCCUGCCAGAGUUUCCUGAUCUUUGUGUACUGUUGUUGUUGUUGAUAUUUGUUACUUGGCCUAUUUACCUGCUUCAGAAAUUCCAAGUAAAGGAUAACCCUGAAAAUCUAAAAAGCAGUUGAAAACCCCCUCAACCCUCUUUCAUUUAGAAAGCAGUUUGCAAAAGUUCAAUCUGUUUUCUUUUUGUUUUCAACCAUUGCAUGGUCAACCUCUAGUUCUCAGCACAGAAAAGUUCCAUGUGAGUUUCAAAUAUUCACCCCCCCACACACACACACACUCGGAAUGUUAGUCCCUCUGACCACUUAAGAAAAUUAUAACAAAUUCAAAAGAAAAUGGUUAACAUUCAGUCCAACUAUAUAUAUUGAGUCCCAGAAUUAUUCACAUUUUCCAGGAAUAUUAGAUGCUUUGUUAACUAGAAAAAAAAGAUAAUGUAUUGCAUCUACCAGUAGAUGAUUAUAAUUCCAUUGCUAAUAAUGGAGUCCUUUAGAUUUCAUUAUUAAGCCAACAAUCUGACCAACAUCUGCAAAACAGGCACAAUUAAUUUUCCAGAACCUCAAUUAAAAAUUACAGCAUCCCUUAUCCAGAGUUAUUGUCAGUGAUCAUGAGCCCUGGAGCAUUGUUCCUCUUUUGGAAAUAGGAAGCUACACAUACCAUGGUUGAAAGUAAAUAAAGGAUAAAAUAAAACUGAAUAGCAAUUUAAUGUAUCAAUUUCCUUUUCUUUUACUGAAAACAGUUCCUAUUACAUUUGGCAGAGUUAAUGUCGGCCAUUAUAAAUUUUUUAGAUACCAGGCUUGUGUAAAAUAAAAUGUCAGGUUAAGAAAAUUAGACACUCGAACAGCAAGAUAUUAGAUAAAACAAAAUUAAGUUGAUUUUGCACAUGCAAUAUUUCUAGUGACUUGCUAAUCCAUUAUCACAGGUUAUACCAGCCUACUACUUACUUAAGUCUUUUUAUCAAGUUGUGCAUUGUUUUGCACAAUAACAAAAAUAUCUUUGAAAAUCAAAGAGCAUACAACAGCCCCCAUAAACUUAAAAUAUGAAUUCGAUUCUGGGAUCCCACCAAAAUCCUUCCCAUUGUUUGAGGUCAGCAGACCACUACCUUGGAGCUCAUACAUCCCCACACCCCAACCCAGCCCCCAAAGUUUGCAACCUAGUAAAGAAGUUGGAGAUUUGCCAGCCAGGAAACUUUGCUUUGCACUGCCAAGCAAAGGCUGGCGAUGAGGGGAGAUUCCUCCACAAAGAUCUGUUUCUGGACAAUACUCUCCAGGUGCAAGAGCCGAAAAAGAGUUGAAGAGGCUAAAUUGAGUGCAAGAAGCAAGCCCUAUUGCUUCUCUGGAAGAUGUGUCCAAAUUCACCCUCCGUCCUACAAACAUCGCUCCCUCUUCCCGUUCCCUCCUCUUCCUUAGCCUUCCCUCACCCCAAAUCUGAGCGGGUUCGUCGGAUAGGAGCCCCGAGUCCCCUGCUCACCUCUCCUUCUCUCUGCAACCCAGAAAAGUUAAGGCUGGGCUAGGGGAGAGACAAGAGGUGGGGGCGGGGAUGGGAAAGCGGCCUGAACUCGAAGUGUAAGGGUAUCAGUCACUGCCGGGAAGGAAGCUCCGGCUUGUGAACUCUUCUUGAACCGAGAUUUAAGUCUGCAGCCAUAAAUCACCGAGACGUAAACUCCGCCAUUCAGCGCCGGGAGCGGCCGGUUGCGGCCCUGCUUACCUUAACUUCUGACGAGCGCCGCAAGCACAGGCUCGGGCUCAGGCUCAGACACCGGCUCCGGCCCCCGGCCUGGCUCAGCGGCCCGGCCGGGUCCCCUCGGCGCGGGAUGGGCACCGACCCUCAGCAUCAGCUGAGACGGAAUUCGUUUGAGAAUAGAAUAGAACCACGUAUUCCUCUGCCCUGGACACUUCCAAUUGUGGGGUGAAGGGAAAAAGAACCAAGAAAAGUGAGUUUCCCAGACUUUGCCCAGUUUAUUUCACCUGCAACCCCCAAACAGAUCUUUAGGUGGGGGUGUGGGGAGCUGGGAUAAGGCUUUUCUCUAGGGAUCCCAAAGAGCCAACUGGGCUCUCUUUGGUUAUAUUUUUAGGCAGAAAUUGCUGACAUCUUAGCAGCCAGGAGGGAAGUGUCCUGGAAGAGACAUGCACUUGUUCCAGCAGUGAAAUGGGAUGCUCCAGGCUCAGGUACACACAAGGGUGUUUAGAAAUGCGGAUCUCCAGGGCUCGUGUGCCCAUUUCACAGUGCAGACACACAGCUCACCCACAGGGAAGACAGAGAAAGCUCUGACCCCAACAGAAACUGAUAUCAUAUAUAUAUAUAAACACACACACACGCAGGGCAGAGGAAUAUGUGGUUUUUCAUACACACACACAUACAUAUUUUCCUCAUUAGUGGGAUGGAGUAACGCUGAGCUGGGCAAAAGAAAGGUUCGAAUUUGCCUGGUAAUAUUGCCACAACUUGAAAGAGGAUGAUUUUCCUCCUAAAGCCUCCUUUGCUCCCCAGCUUCAGAAGCAAACUCUGCAAGGGUUAUGAGUGUGGCAAAAAGAGAGAAAUGGAGAUUUCCUGCAAUCCCAAGGCGUCAACAGCGGGUCCUUCUCAAAGGAAGGUGUUAAAAAUAUAAGGAGUAUGUUUAAACUGUCAAGGAGCCAAAGUGUCACCUUAGAGCAAAAACAAAGCCAGGGGAAAAGGGAGAAAUCAAAAAGCACUCCGGGCCAGGGUGGCCUCAUGCAUACCAAUGGUUUUUGUCAUUUAUGGCUGGGCAAGAUUUAUGACUCGGCGCCCCAAAGCUGUAAACAGAGCACAAAACAGCAAACACUUGCUCCUUAAGGCAUAUUGCAGAGCAACUUGAAAGGGGGAGCCGGCCGCGUAGGAGGUGAGAGCCAGCCGCAAAAAUCCGUUCGGCGGCAUUUUCUCUUCAAACCCGCCCGGUCGGAUGUGGCAUUUGAAGAAAGAAGGCGUGGGUCAAUAAUCAACCCGCACUUUCUCCUCCAAACUGCUGACGCGACUCUCACCGCCUUCUCAGCUAAGCCAGCUGCCGGGAAGGCCAGCUCUCCGUGAGAACCUGCCGGGAGAAGGAAUUCUCCGGGCCAUAGGGACCGAGGGCGCCCGAGCUAGGGCUGGGGCGCCCGGAAUGCAUACCUUUCCACUGGCGCCAAGACCCUGCCAGGCAAAACGCGGGGACCGGACCUGAGGAGCCGCGGGAGCCCAGGGAGAUCUGAGGCUGGAGCUUCGUUCCGGCCAGGGCCUCUAUCCGCCCCGAUACGUGGCUCGCGGGCCGCGGGCCUCAGCGGGCAGAAGUGGGGCUCCGACCUCAAGACGAAAGUCCGGCGUCCUGGCACGCAGAUGGUCGGUGCCCCAGCCUCAAGCCGCUCUGCUGAAAUCCAAAGGACUGGCUUUGGAGCAAACGUAGGCGAGAGGAUUUUAAAAUAAUAAUUUAUACUGGCGGAAUGUUUUUA